rnacentral:rRNA from 1 species
GUGUCAGCCGCCGCGGUAAUACGGAGGGUGCGAGCGUUAAUCGGAAUUACUGGGCGUAAAGCGUGCGCAGGCGGUUUGCUAAGACCGAUGUGAAAUCCCCGGGCUCAACCUGGGAACUGCAUUGGUGACUGGCAGGCUAGAGUAUGGCAGAGGGGGGUAGAAUUCCACGUGUAGCAGUGAAAUGCGUAGAGAUGUGGAGGAAUACCGAUGGCGAAGGCAGCCCCCUGGGCCAAUACUGACGCUCAUGCACGAAAGCGUGGGGAGCAAACA